ACUCCUACGGGAGGCAGCAGUGGGGAAUAUUGCACAAUGGGGGGAAACCCUGAUGCAGCCAUGCCGCGUGUGUGAAGAAGGCCUUCGGGUUGUAAAGCACUUUCAGUAGGGAAGGAAGGUAGUGUAGUUAACACCUGCAUUAUUUGACGUAGCGACAGAAGAAGCACCGGCUAACUCCGUGCCAGCAGCCGCGGUAAUACGGAGGGUGCGAGCGUUAAUCGGAAUUACUGGGCGUAAAGCGCAUGCAGGUGGUUUGUUAAGUCAGAUGUGAAAGCCCGGGGCUCAACCUCGGAAUUGCAUUUGAAACUGGCAGACUAGAGUACUGUAGAGGGGGGUAGAAUUUCAGGUGUAGCGGUGAAAUGCGUAGAGAUCUGAAGGAAUACCGGUGGCGAAGGCGGCCCCCUGGACAGAUACUGACACUCAGAUGCGAAAGCGUGGGACAAACAGGGAUUAGAUACCCUGGUAGACAUCA
rnacentral:rRNA from 1 species